rnacentral:rRNA from 1 species
GUCCUUUUGAUAAUAAUUUAAGGUCGGGCCUGCUCAAUGAAUUUUUAAAUGGCUGCAGUAUACUGACUGUGCAAAGGUAGCAUAAUCACUAGUUUCUUAAUUAGAAGCUUGCAUGAAAGGUUUGAUGAGAAAGGAGCUGUCUGCUGUCUAAAUUUUAUAGAAUUUUAUUUUUAAGUAAGAAAGCUUAAAUAUAGGUUGGGGACGAGAAGACCCUAUAGAGUUUUAUAUUUUAUUAAUUAAUAAUAUUUAGAAUUUUAGUUAUUUUAUGAAAUAGAAUAUUUUAUUGGGGUGAUGGAAAAAUUUAAUAAACUUUUUUUUUAUUAAAACAAUAAUAUUUGAUUAUAUGAUCCUAAGAUUUAGAUUACAAGAUCAAACUACCUUAGGGAUAACAGCGUAAUUUUUUUUAGAGUUCUUAUCGAAUAAAGAGAUUGCGACCUCGAUGUUGGAUUAAAAUAUGUGGAUGGUGCAGGAGCUAUCAUACUAAGUCUGUUCGACUUUUAAAAUUUUACAUGAUCUGAGUUUAGACCGGCGUAAG